UGCAGACACUCACAGCUGGUCCACCCCAAGGGUUCAGGGGUCAAUCCCAGGAGCCCGUGAUGGCCACUCUGCCUGUGCUCUGGGCAAGUGCAUGUUCAUCUUUGGAGGAUACGAGCAGUUGGCUGACUGCUUCUCCAACGACAUCCAUCGCCUGGAUGCUGUGACAAUGAUGUGGACCCUGAUCAAUGCGAAG